GCAUCAAUGGGGUAGUGGUAACCUGGGUCGUUGCCAUCGGAUAUUCUCAAGCACCUUGUGGUCGACCCGCCGGGGAUUCGAUUCCCUCUUGAUGCA